AUAAUCGCGACAUGUCUUUGAAAAGAUCCCACUUGCUUGGCUGAUUUCAUCAAUGAUUUCUCAAGUGACACAAUCGGAAUAAAUAUUUCACAGAAUCAUCUUUAAGAUCUGAUUUCAGGUAUAAAAUGAAGAAGGAGACUAUUUUAGUGGACACAUACAAACUUAUUUUUGUAUUAAAGUGGUCUGUCUUCCAUCACUAAAAGCGCUUUGGGUUUUUUCAUCAGUCCCAUUCCUGUGAGGCUGGAGGAGAAAAGGCAGGUAGAGUGCAAUGCCGUCACCUACCUGAAGGCUUUUAGUACAAGG